rnacentral:rRNA from 1 species
UACAGAGGGGGCAAGCGUUGUUCGGAAUUACUGGGCGUAAAGGGCGCGUAGGCGGCCUGCUAAGUCGAACGUGAAAUCCCUGGGCUCAACCCAGGAACUGCGUCCGAUACUGGUUGGCUUGAAUCCGGGAGAGGGAUGCGGAAUUCCAGGUGUAGCGGUGAAAUGCGUAGAUAUCUGGAGGAACACCGGUGGCGAAGGCGGCAUCCUGGACCGGUAUUGACGCUGAGGCGCGAAAGCCAGGGGAGCAACGGG